UUUACUUUCAUGAUGUCUUAUUACUUCCACUUAAUUUAAAUUCAAUGAUUAUGAACUUGUGCAUGAGGUGAAUCCAUGAUUUGCCGUCCGCAAACUAGAGCUCGUUGCUACACUAGCGUGGCACAAGCCUUUUACAUGAUAUGAAGUGUUCGCCCACGGUACAUGGGCACGUAUAUCAAAAGAUUACAAAAGAAAAGUUCUGGAAAGGAUUCUCCAGGAUCCACAUUUUUAUUUUUUUAGAUAGACGAAGAAACUUAAAGAAGGUACAAAAACAGGAGAACAAGAUACCUCCGACAGCAAAGUAAAGAAAUUACCAAAGAAGGGCUAUCAAUCCCAUUGCAGAUCAAGGAGGUAUUUGGUCAUUCUUGAGAUGAAGCAUAGAGGCUAGAGGCCGCAUUUCCUAUCAACAAGGUGGCGGCUUUACAUGCAGGUGGAUGAAGCAGUUGUCACCAAUUACAGAGUUUAACAGCAGAUGAAAGCUUGGAAUUGCUGCAAGAAAGCAUUCCCUGAAAUGAAUGAAAUCAUCAACCACAAGAGCUAUAGAUUGAUUUACAAAUUGAGACCCCAUGAUUUAGCAAUGACUUAACUAAUCCAAAAGAAAUCAAAGAAGUCAAUUUUCUUAAAGGGUAAAGCAUUCCCAUAUCAAGUAAAAGAAACUCAACUUUUUCCUUCACAGAUUUUGCUGUGUUUUCAAUUAAAUGAUAAGUUAUUGAUAAAUACGUGUGUCUGUGGGCACCUGCACUAUUUCUGACAUCAACAAUGAGGCGAGUCAUAAUAGAAGCAUAUUAACCAAGUUGGGUAAACAUUUCUAACUAAGAAACACAAAUGUAUUAAACACAUACUGAAUAGAAAGGCAUCCUGCUCACUCCCAAACAAAAUCUUUUUAAUCAUCCAGGCAUCAACAAUGAUGGUUUUUCGGAAGCACAAAUCAUGACAUAGCUAUAUUAAAUUUAUGAGCAGAUUGCAAAAUAUUAUCAUUUAGCCUCUUCUCAAAUAUAACUAAGUUCACAAAUCAAUCUAACCCAUAUUAAUAACUUAGGUACUGCUUACAAAUCAUUGAGCUCUCAAGUAUUUUUCUGAUUAGCUCUAGAAUUCAAGCUAACACAGGCAUUGCAUUCUGCUUCUUAAUAUUCACUUUUUGUUUCAUGUUUUUUAUUACAUGCUAGCUAUAAUUUCAUCAUCACUGCUCCUAUGCAGCCUCAAAAAGCAAAAAUCCAAUAUGUUCGCACCUCUGCAGAUAUUUGAUCGCCAUGCCAAAAAAGUUCCAAACUGCUGUAAUAAGGAAACUGCGAUCAAACAACUAGGACUUGGUUCCUGCCUCAAGAAAAUUCCUCAAUUGCAAGUCAUUCAGCUUUAUUUCAUCACUUAAAAAAAAAAGGAAUGAGAAUGGACAAAGCAACAGCAAAAAACCAAUACAAAUUCUGUAAGAAUUGAUUUUCAUGACCAUGCUUAAGGAACUGGAAUCGUUAGGAUCCUGGAAAAUUUUCAGGACAGGCAAAAAGCAUAACUGCAUUAGUAUUGUUAAAGAUUCCCUCAACAGAUUUUUAUUAAAUUUGUGCUUGAAAAGCUUCCACAAGAACACAUCAUGUAAGAUUUUACAUUUGGUCAAAAAAGUGAUUCUCCAUUGAAUGGAGAUCACUCCACAAGACAAAGAUACUGUGCAAGUUCAAGCUCUUUUUGCAAUUAACCCCACUUAUAUCUAUUAUAUAUAUAUUAAAAAAAAAACUACAUUCUUCACUUUUGUCCUUGAUAUCAGGUGCAGCUGCUUUUGAAACAGUGAUUUGUGUAACUGCAAGGAAAUUUAUGAAACUAAUGGACUUAUGUGAGUCUAAAGAAUGACAGUAACUUCAUUAAAUAUUUUAUGACAAUUUUUUUCUACCACGAUAAGUAUUGAGUAAAUAUAAUCACCUAAAAUAUUGCAAAAACAGUAAUAAUAAACACAGGCCUCAUGUCAGACCAUACCUUCCAUGAUGCAUCAAAGCAUACAACAAGGCUACUUUUGUUUCCUUCUAGCAAUGUAGAGGACCUCUUCCCAUUCUCAAACCCCUGGACUAGGUUGUGGCUGUUCAUCAUUUUCAGUACCUAGCAGAACUUAUCACAUAAGAAGAUGAAAGAUAUUCAAGUAGAAUAACCUGCAUCUGAAUUGGCAUUUAUUCUUGUUAGAUUACCACUUUACCUAAAAGCAGUACAUGAAGAUAUAAAGAACACCCAUGAUAUGGAAUACAAUAAUUUUUUGAACAUCACACAAUAAACAGGGCAACAAGACUACAACCCAGGACCUCCUGGGAACCAGCUCCGAUACCAUGCUAGAUUACCAAUUCACCUAAAAGCUCAAGUUGUUAGAUGAUGGACCAACAAUGUAUACCAAGCCUUAACAAAUCUCAAGGUAAUUUUUUUUACCACAACCACAACACAAUGAUCUUGCCAUCGAAGAGCCUUGGCAAAAUUAGCUGGUAAGCUGACUAAAGAUUACAACAUGACCUUGAUGAAGAAUGUGAAGAAACCAGCAUGCAUCACAAAGAACAAUAAAAAAAUGAAACGAAGACUGGACCCAAGGCUCCCAAUGCAGGAUGUCACUCUAUCACGAAAAUCCAGGAAACAUUGCAGGUAGGAUCAGAGAUUCCAAAUAAGACUUUAAAGCCCUCUACUCGAGACAUUUAAUUAAAAAGGUCCACCCAGUGCACCAGACUCCUGGUCACAAUAGAACAUGGAAAAGAGGAUGGCAGGCAGUCAUACCCCCAUUUGUGGAGACUGGAGAGGCUGAUUCCCAAUUUUCAAAACCACAGCGGAAUAUUAGCAAGAUGAGGACACGCUAUUGCACCAAGUUUGGCCUUCAAUAUCCAGUCCCAAAUGGUUUCCUGACAGCUCCAAUGAUGUGAA